rnacentral:lncRNA from 1 species
CGCUGUCGCUGCUCCGCCGUCGUGCCGUGGGGUUUUCUCUCACCAUUUGGCAGUGGGUCGAGAAUCGUUUUGCCUGACUCGACCAAGUUCAAGUGCGGCAACAGGCUAGAAUGUAUAGAGUGGUGUUUUUAUUGUGGUUGCUUUUGUUGCUUUUUCUGCUGCUGGAGCGGGGUUAAACCAUUAGCGCGUGCGCGCGUCAGUCCAACCAUUUGAAAUAAACCAAAACAUUUGGAAUUGUCUCAAGCGUCACCAGAAAAGCCAAAAGCAAAUUGGAAUACCACAAGAAGCGAAAGCUAAAAUGGGUUAUGAAUGAACCAACAACAGAUCCUGAGGGGGGACUUACCAAAGCAAAGUGAAACAGAAGCAAAGCAGCAUCAAAAUAUUUUGAUUUUUCAGAGAGGUACAGUUCUCUAACACUACAAAGUGCCGCUUAAAGUUGAUGAUACCCCAAAAACGGGUUUAGUUCUUUGAUUGAACAUUAAUUCACCUUUUUAAUACAGAAUAUUUUUAAACAAAUAAAAUAAGAAAUUUAGGAAAAACCUUUGCUAAAUGCCAAUAGUUCUCAAUGAAAAAGUUAUCAAUGACUCAACAAUUACCAGCUCACAAUUGGAGCGGAUACAAAUGCGGAUCAAGUGCUAGACCACAUGCCGGAGCGGAUACAAUCACAAAUCAUUUAGGAACACAAAAGAAAGAAACAAAAGAACAAAAGUUAUCAAUGAAAACUGUGUUUAAAUCCUGGAAAAAUAUGCCUCAAAAAUGUUCUUAGAUGCUGCAAAUACCUCAGGAAAGACUUAAAAUAAAAUGCCUCAAAAGUGACACUGAAAAAUGUCACCAUAUCCUGAAUGAAUCAACGCCGAGUUCCAGAAAACUUUAAGAACACAUCUGUGGCGGAUACAAAAGCGGAUCAUUUGGGGACGGUCCAAAGUGAAAGUCAAUAGAAAAAAAAGCAAAACUUGUGGUAAACAGGAAGUGGGCCUCAAUGUGUGUUCUGUUUGUGUGUGCUUGGGCGGCUGAGUAGGCGGCUGGCACUCGCACGCCAUUAUAAUUAAUAUAUUUAAGAGCAUAUUUAGCAGCUAAUUUGCAUGCGUAAGUGUGUAAGUGUAGCGACAUUAAACUAAGCCAUUGGAUGCCAU